GAGGAGGUGGUCUAGCGGUUAGAACGCUGGCCUUGUAAUCCUGGGGUCUCGGGUUCGAUUCCCGGCGGUCCCC
rfam:Zootermopsis nevadensis contig9092, whole genome shotgun sequence.